UGAUUCUGGGUCUAACUGAAUCAUGUGAAGUAUCAUCUUCCGGAUCCCAGCAUCUUGUAUCUGCAAUUACAAUACAUAAUCAUCCAACUUUGUGAUAACUAAUUUUGAAAGAAAGUAGGCAACACAGAUUAUUAUACGUAGAACUCGAAAAAGUUUUGACAAUUUGAUAACAAGAUGAAUGAUAAAAAAAGACGAAUAGAUUGAAAAACUAAUGCAUACUUCAUAUAAAGGUGGCCCAAUGCACAAGACUCCCAACAUUGCGGCAUUAGGGAAGGAUUAGAUUUACACAGCCUUACCCCUCCAUGCAAAGAUAUGUUUCUAUGUUUCAAAUCCAUGACCUCCAGGUUAUAAUGGAGCAACCUUACCGUUGCACCAAAGCUUACCCUCAAACACAUUAUUGAUAUAAUAUCAUAAAUUUAUAUUCCUAAAAAUACAAAAUAAACUUCAUAUUCUCGAAAAUCAUAUGUUAUUCAACAAACUAUAUGAUUCUACAAACAUGGUGAUGCAGGACAAUGCUGAAAAGAGAGGAAGGAAGAAGAAAAGGAGAGGAGGAGAGGAGGGAAAAGAACCGGGCUUCUCACCUGGCUCUGACCGUGGCUUCGUACCAGGGUUUCAAAGAAAGGAGGCAAUUUCAUUCAAUCAAUCAUUAACCCUAAACAAGUGCAUGAACCCAUAUAUAUAGGAUUACAAAAUAACGAAAAGACCCCUACAAAGAAAAUAAUCACAAAAAGGUCCUAAAUUGACAAUAUGCAAAUAAGCCCCAUAAAAAUGAAAUAAAAUAACAUCAAAUCAAUCUAGCCAUAAAGAAACUGACUGGACCAUCCUCCUGCAACGACCGUGGCCUCGCAUAACAGGCGGUCCGGUACUGGUGUCCGCACCAACUCCCCUCAGGUGAGAAGAAGUCGACCUCGAUGAAUGCGGCUCGGUACAACUCUGGUAGUACUCUAAGAGGUCCAGAUCAAUCCGCUGAAGCUCGUCCUAAGUCAUCCAAGUCGAAUCGAACUCCGGUCGUCCUCUCCAACGAACCAAAAGGCGCUAAAUACUUCCAUCACUGGAUAAAAUGGUUUGCCCGUCUAAAAUAGGGUUAAUGAGUUCUUUUUGUGCUGGUGGAAGAGGCAAAGGAAGUGUGAAUGGGAUGGGAUCAGGAAUAGAAGAAUCAUCAGGCUCAAGAGAAGGCUUAGCGAAAGGGUCAGCAAGGAUGAAUGGUGGACCCUUGAAAGCAACUAAAUCUUCAAUAUUAAAAGUAGAGCUGAUACCAAAAUCAGAUGGAAGAUCAAUAACAUAGGCGUUCAUGCCAAUCUGAUGCAAAACCCGAAAGGGCUCAACACUACGAGCCUGCAGUUUCUUAACGGAUCCCUGCAGAAACCGCUCAGGCCGAAUACGCACCAUAACAUAAUGCCCAUGUUGGAAUAUCCCACCUAUGGAAAACAGCUUGUAGUUUAUAUCGAGCAUUACUCGCAUGAAUGUGCUUACAAAUAUCCUGAUGCAGCUUAUGCAUGUGUUGUGCAAAUGCAUGUGCAGACUCUGAAAUGCGAAUAUGCGGUGAUAUGGGUAGAAGGUCGACAGGCUUUCUAGCUUGAAACCAUGUACCACCUCAAAUGGACUCAUCCCUAUGGACCUAUUGAUCAAAGUGUUGUAUGCAAAUUGAGCGACAGGAAGGAUGGAAUCCCAAUUACGGUUAUUUGCACUCACAAGACACCGCAACAGGUUACCUAAACUUCGGUUGACCACUUCUGUUUGGCCAUCUGUUUGGGGGUGGUAAGCAGUGAAAAAUUUCAGCUUGGUACCAACCAUGUGCCACAGUUUUCCAAAAGUAACUCAUGAAGUGAACAUCCCUAUCGGACACGAUCGUUUUCGGUAAUCCAUAUAACUUAACAAUUUCGUCGAAGAAAAUAUUGGCCACCCUAGAAGCAUCGGACGAUUUGGAACAGGGGAGGAAGUGGACCAUUUUGGAAAAACGAUCAACAACCACCAAAAUUGAAUUAUGUUUCCGAAAAGUGCAAGGAAGACCUAGUACGAAGUCCAAGCUGAGGUCAAGCCAAGGACGAUCGAGAGCAGGCAACGGGGUAUACAGGCCAGUAUUUUGUUUUCUAUGUUUGGCUAGUUGACAAGUUUGACACUGACCUACAAUUUUAGCAACGUCACGUUUCAGACUUGUCCAAAAGAAUUGAUGUUCGACUUUAGCAAUAGACUUUAUCGCGCCCAAAAUGCCCCGAGAGACCCCCAGCAUGGACUUCCCAAACUAAAAAGUCCCUUGCCGACAUGUGCGGGAUACAGAGCUUAGAGGCUUUAAACAGGUACCCGUCCUGUAAAUAAAAAUCAUCUAUUAUGGGUCCUUGUCCUUUGGCGAGGGCAGCAUAAAUUUUACCAAAAUCGGGACAAGACACAGUCUUCCUUAAGUUUGUCAAAGCCCGUGAUAGUGAUAGACAUGGCCGAGAGCACGGCUACUCGCCGACUCAGCGCAUCCGCAGCUUUGUUAGCAGCACCCGAUGUAUGCUUCAAGACAAAAGUGUACUCCUGGAAAAAUUCAACCCACUUAGCAUGGCAAUGAUUCAGCUUUUUCUGGAAAUGAAGGAAUCGAAGGGCCUCAUGGUCGGAGUGAAGGACGAAUUCGUUAGGGAGUAGAUAGUGACGCCAAUACCGCAGGGCUUGGACAAUAGCAUAAAAUUCUUUAUCAUAGGUGGAAUACUUUUGUUUAGCCUCAUUGAGCUUUUCACUAAAAUAGGCCAUAGGGUGAUGUUCUUGACUGAGCACUCCACUAAUCACUAAGCCAGAGGCAUCACACUCCACUUCAAAAACCUUGCUAAAAUCAGGUAACCGCAUAACUGGUGACUGUGUCAUCCUUUUCUUAAUGUCGCCAAAUGCUUUGGCGGCAUUGCCCGUCCACCGAAAGUCACCUUUCUUAAGGCAAUCCGUGAUGGGUGCCAUAAGUGUACUAAACCCCCUAAUAAAGCGACAGUAAAAUGUGGCAAGCCUGUGAAAGCUACAGACAUCACUAAUAUUCUUGGGCUCGGGCCAUUCUACUAUUGCAGUAAUUUUCUCAGGGUCAGCAAAUAAGUCCUCGGAAGAGACUAUGUAACCUAAGAAGUUAAUAUGAGAAGUGAAGAAAGAGACUUCUUAAGGUUAGCAUAUAGCCUCACAUUACGUAACGUUGUGCAAACCUGUCUUAAAUGAUCCAAAUGUUGCUCUUUCGAGUGGCUGUAAAUGAGGAUAUCAUCGAAGUACACGACUAAAAACUUGCCCAUGAAUGGUCGCAGAACUUAGGUCAUUACUCGCAUAAAAGUACUAGGAGCAUUUGAGAGACCAAAUGGCAUCACCAGCCAUUCGUAUAGGCCAUCAUUUGUUUUAAAAGCCAUCUUCCACUCAUCACCUAGGCAGAUUCGGAUUUGAUGGUAGCCACUUUUUAAAUCAAUCUUGGAGAAGAUCGUGGCACCUGCCAUCAUAUCCAACAAAUCAUCGAGCCGAGGAAUGGAAAAACGGUAUUUAACCGUGAUCCUGUUGAUUGCCCGACUGUCAACACACAUUCGCCACGUGCCAUCUUUCUUUGGAGUGAGGAGUGCGGGCACGGCACAAGGACUCAAGCUCUUCCAAAUGAACUUUUUUGUAUGAGCUCGUUAACUUGCCUCUGCAGCUCAGCAUGCUCAGAAGGAUUCAUUUGAUAGUGAGAUAGAUUGGGUAAAGUAGCUCCAGGAACCAAAUCAAUGGCAUGUUGUAUGUCACGCAAGGGUGGCAAAUGAUUCAGGAGGUCCUCAGGGAAAACUUCCAAAAAUUCCUUAAGGAUAGAAAAGCCUUCAGAGAGUAUCUCGCUUUGCGUAUUUAGGUGGUUCUCUAGGACAAGGCAAACACCAUAGAAUCACGGAUAACUUCUCUUUCAAAUUCGGAGGGGCUCAGGAUAUGGAAUUCUUUGCGCGUUGGCUCAUUUUCUUCUUACCCUUGUCAAGCACCUUGGGCUUCAAGGGGUUAAGUGUAAUCCUCUUGCCCUUAAAUGUAAACGAGCAAGAAUUAGAUUGACCAUAGAAGGUGACAUCAAGGUCGAACAACCAAGGCCUCCCCAAUAUGAGGUGACCCACAUCCAUCGGGAUCACAUCACACCAGAUGGUGUCUUUAUAAGAGAGAAUUUGAAUUGGUAUGAGACACCUUUCUUUGAUAUGGAUCGAAGACAUGUCAAUCCAGGAGACUUUGUAAAGUUGGAUCUGAGGGACGGGAGUUAAUCCCAAAUGGAAGAUAAUGUUUCAAGGUAUUGCAUUAACGCAACUCCCGCUAUCAAUAAUAACCUUGCAGUCCUUAUCUCCGCACUCGAUAUAAGUAUGGAAGAUCGAAGUUCUUCUCCAGUCAUCAUGCUUGGCAGGUUGGGCAAGAGCACACCUGACUACAUUCAUGGUGGACUGAACAGGUUCGGUGAUAACUGUUGGAGGCGUGGUCCGGAUACAGCCUAAAGUGUCUGAAUUUCCUCAUAUUCGUCAUCGACGUCUUGGAUGUUGUCUAGAUUUGGCUCAUAUACUUGUUCCUCCAAGUCGGCAGUAGCACCCUCUUGUUCUUGCGCCUCAAUAACAAGAGAUUUAUUUGCGCAUUGUGAGGCGACAUGUCUAAAACCCUGGCACUUAAAGCAUUGGAUUCGAGAAGAUGGUUUGGGAGGUUCACCAAGAACUCCCUUGCCCUUAGUGUCCUUACUUGGGGUAGGGGUGGAAGAAAAAGGUCUUGGAGGCGCGGACCCAAUUGAAGGACGGGAUCCGGAAGGUUGAGCACCGGCGGGAGUCCCUUUAAUGUCAGAGUAUCUAACAAAUGUUGGCCUAGAUACCUGUUCAUAGUUGUGUACAAAUGUGUAAGCUUGAUCGAGGGUGGAUAUUUCACGAAGGACAAGUUCCUUUCUGAGCUCAUCAUUAAGACCUCGUCGAAACCGGCUCAGGAUCAUCCGUUCAUUUUCUUCCAUGUUACAUCGCAUCAUAAAUUCAUCAAACUGGACGAUGUAAUCAGUAGCAGGCCGAUUACCUUGUCGCAAGUUAUUUCAUCGGUCUAGGAGGUCAUCUUGGUAGCUUAGGGGUAGGUUUUUUUUUAAGUUUUUCUUUCAUUUCUACCCAGUCGGUUAUUGCAGGUUGAUGUCUCCUAGCUAGCAGUUGUUCGGUGCUUUACCAGAAAAGUUUAGCUCGACCGAUGAGCUUCAUUCUGGCGAACCGAACCCUCUUCUCCUCAGACAAAUUAUACCACUCAAAGAAGUGGUCCAUCUCGUGCAUCCAGUCCGAGAAGGCUUUUGGGUCAAGGCGUCCGUCAAAGGUAGGGGCUUCAACCUUAAUACCCCUCAUGACAUCUUCGUCGUGGUCUUGAGACUCUCUGGGUUCGACAUUAUGACGGGGACCUCAAUCAGCAUCAUGGAAGAGACCCAGUCUUCUGGGGUCAGGGUUGGCAUGGGGGCGACUUGGAAAAGGUAUAUUGUCAAAAUUAUCCUGCCGAAUAGAGAUUUGUGGGUCUAGGACUUCAUCCUCUAGGUCUCGGCCGGGGUAAUGGGCAACGCUAUCGUCUUUGGAUCCAAUGAUCCGUUAUAAGGAGGUUUCAACUGAAUCGAGUCGGGCAUUGGUCUGGGCAGACAUAGUGGUCAAGUCUUCAACUGCCUUCAUUAGGGCUUCGAUGCGGGCAUCCAUAGUAGAUUGGGAUUUGGAAUGCAGGAUGAUACGACCACUACGAAGGUACAUAAGAUAAAUGAACUCAAUUAUGUACUAUUCUAGCAAAUGAGGACAAUAUUAACUCUAAUGCAAACUUAAUGCAUGCAAUGAAUCUUAAUUGUCAAUAUGUAUGCUUAAUAUAAACCCCAAACUAAUCUCUAACAGUAAAAUAUGGCAAACUGGGAAUCAGUAGGUGACGCUAGCCAAUAAGAAGCUGCAGUCAAGUAGUACAGAUGUCCACUAGGAGUUGGGUGACAUGGGGUCUCAUAGGUCUUCCAAUUAGGGUUUAGCUCUACAAUUAAUAAUAAAGAAGGCUACUAAUAGGGUUGCGGUGUGUUUUGUGGAUGUGCGUGAAGCUUGUGUUUUGGAUUUCGGGUAUACCACCAAACACAAAAAUAACUUUCGAAUGCUAAAUGUAAACAAGCAAACCAAAUAUCCAAGAUAGAACAAACCUGAUCCGGUGGAGAGCGACGAACAAAGUGCAGCAACGAGCUCGUCAAUUGGCGCCAAUAGAGCCUGAUGUCAGCAACAUAUGGGCCUGAUCAAAAUAAUUUGGUGGGCCUGGCGACGGUGAUCGAUCUGAAUACAGGGAGUGUGGUGUAUGGUGGCAGGGCCCGGUGACUUGGGCCCGUGAAGGAGGCACUCGAGGUGGGCCUUGUACUUGGGCCCGUGAGAAGGAGCCCGAGAUGUGAUGAACAGGGCGCGGCUGGAUGGCCCAUGCCUUGUUGGGCCUGAAGGUGGGCUAGGCGGAAUGGGCUGCGGUNNNNNNNNNNNNNNNNNNNNNCGGCGGAAACCCGAUGGCAAGGGUUUCGGCACCCUUGCAGAGAUGAAGAGAGGGAGGAGAUGGAUGGCGGAAGGGGAAAAAAAAUGUGGCGAACGUGGGAGGGGGAGAAAUCGGGGAAGCGGUGGCGGAUGAAGCCGAUGAGGCGGAGGCGGGGCGUGGCGGACAAGGCGAGGUGCGACGGAGGAGGCGGCAGGUGGAGGAUGGGCAGGGUGCGGCGUUGGGGAAGGCGGAGAAGAUGAAGGAGAGGGGCCGCAACGGCAGCUCGGAGAAGAAGGGCGGCGAGGAAUGGCGGGGCUCGGCAUCGGGUGGGGUGCUCGGCGGCGUAGGUGGUUGCAGGGAAACGAAGCGGCGUUGAGGAUUUGGGAUGGAGAGACGAGGCGAAACAGGCGCUCGGCAGCGGCGGCUCGGGCGGGAUGAUCGAUGGCGGAGUUCGACGAUGGGUGAUGGAGCUUCAAGCGGAGCGGCGUGCGUGGGCAGUGGCACAGCGAUGGUAGCAGCAGCGGCGGAAACCAUAGCUCUAGGAUUUCCUCUUCGUCGGAAAGGAGGUAAGCAAAUCUUUUUUUGGGCAGCACGUACAGGUCACGUGCCUCUUUUUUUUCUCCAAAAUGGAUCCGAGUUACCCAAGAAAAAAGGUUAACGGGUCUGGACCUUACCCGUUAGCUGACUUUGAACCAUCCGACGGUUUCGGGAGGCCGCGCCGAGAUUCACGCCGGCGGUUGCGGGCGGAUCUCCACGGUCUGUGGUGGCGGUCGCCGACUCCGGCCAGUGGUGGGGACUUCACUUCCCUGCGGCUGCUACAGCGGAUCUGAGGCCGCAGGUUCCUCUUCCUACUUUCGAUGGGACUGAGGGACAGAGACGAGAGAAGAGAGGUGAGGCUCCCUCUCUUAUUGGCAAAGCGAUUAGCACGCGGCCCUUCAACAUACUCCGGCGUUCGCGGCGCGAUAGGUACACAAAGACCUCGUGCAGCAGCCAGGAACGUAGAAAUGGAGGCUUGCUCUGCCCUACACCAGGGCCUGCUGCUUUGGCACGAAGGCAAAGCACGGACUUUGAUACCAAAGUUGAUGCAGGACAAUGCUGAAAAUAGAGGAAGAAGGAAGAAGAAGAGGAGAAGAGGAGAGGAGAGGAAAAAACCAGGCUUCUCAUCUGGCUCUGACCGUUGCUUCACACCAGGGUUUUAAAGGAAGGAGGCAAUUUCAUUCAAUCAAUCAUUAACCUUAAACAAGUGCAUGACCCAUAUAUAUAAUAUUACAAAAAAAAAACCCUACAAAAAAAGAAUUCCAAAAAGGCCCUAAACUGACAAUAUGCAAAUAAGCCCCAUAAAAAUGAAAUAAAAUAACAUCAAAUCAAUCUAGCCAUAAAGAAACUGGCUAGACCAUCCUCCUGUGACGAUCGUAGCCCUGCAUAACAGGCGGUCCGGUAGUAGUGUCCGCACCACAUGGAUUUACAUUAAGUAAAUCUAUCAUGUUUUUAUUACAUUGAAGGGUUUCUCUAGAAUGGAGAAAUCUUUGCUCAUUGAGUACAUCUUGAGAACGACCACAACGAAAGUUUAUUAGUUUCUGUAAAAUCUAAUGGAAUGUAUUAGGUCGAUCUUUAAAUUGAGCAACAACCGAACAACAGUUACAAAAUAAUAAUAAUCCAAAGAAUCCACUUAUGAGGGUUAUAAAUUAAGAAAAGAUAACCACUAAAAUGUAACAGUCAUCAUAUGUAUUUCAUCCUAUUACCUUCUCAAAUAUAUAAAAAUAAUAGAGAGAGAGAGAGAGAGCAGGCUAAAAUGCACUUGAGUGCAUUCUUCCCCAAAUGUUUCCUUGUGGAAAACAAUGAUGGACCUCUUAAAAUUAAAAAACAACACUAUUGAUCAUUAUCUAUAAGUGUAUAAGAUGUCUAGAGGCUAAAAAUCUAUUUUUGACAACCACUUGCCUAUGCAUUAAGUGAACAAAAAAUGAAUUGUAGCAAUGCAGCUAGUAAGCUAAAGUAUAUAAUACACUAUUUAAUUUUCAAAUUCAAACCAUUGAUCUUCAUAUAAAUAUUUUAAAAUAUAUAACAAAUCAAAUUUUUUGACUGAUUCAUAUGCUUCUAAACUAUAGAUCAAGCUCCGCCGUACCGGUACCGGUCGGCAUACCGGAGGCCGGCCGGACAGGUACGAUACCGGUCUGGUCCGGUCCAUACCGGCCCGGUACAGCAAGCCGGGUUUUGGGUUCCCUUUUUUUUUUAGAUGUUGUCUCUGUUGGAUCUUAAAUUAAGUAAACUUUGAUAUUUUUUUAUUGCUUUUUUCAUGAUUUUUGAUGUUUCAAUGUUUAAAUUUAGGGUUGAAAUUUGAAACAUAGAUGAUGCAAGUUAUUACUUCCUUCCGUUCCAAAUGAUAAAAUGAUACACAUAAAAUAUCUUCAAACUAAGAUGCAAUCAUUUACAUACAUUUAAAGCACUCUCAGAUAUCUAAAAUCGGGACAAGUGCCGAUGGCUCUCGUAGAUAUCCGGAUUAUAAGUAUAGUCAGGAGGAGGCAGAUCAACCCAAUCAGAAGGAACGCGCGCCAGGUUAUAAGAACUGCCGGAUCUCUCGCUCAUGCUCUGGCUUUGAGAGGUGUCCUCUAAUUGCGUAGGGGCCCAUCCGAAUAUGGCGGAAGCAAAACCAUAUCCAUAUUCGUCAGGCUGAGGCUGUGGAUAAUAGAAUCCAUAUCCGUAUGCGAGCUCAUCUGCAGCUAUAUCCUGUCUUCCUAAACGACCUCGAGGAGCCCGUCUUAUAUAUCAAAUGAUAUCCUCACGGAAUCUAUCAGGUGGUCGACCGUAGUCCGUAUCCUGUGUAGCACCUGUAAAUUAAGACUCACCGGUGAAAUGAAGACCACCCUUCGGCUGUAUCUCAUAAGUACCAUACUAUCGUCCGCUCCCUCCAUGGCUAGAAGAUCCAUCACCAUCAGAACCUUCAUCGAUGCUGGUCUAAGUCUCCUCGACACUCUCCAUUAGGACCCUUUGUUUUCCUUUCCUGGCCCUCUCUGUCUGGCUAUAUCACUCUUCUCUGCUGAGCAUCUCUCGAUCAGCUCUCGGAGGGUCUCGUACCAAUCAUGUGGUGAUUGGCUCCUCUGUGCCUGCGGCUGAUCAGCUCUAGGAGUGUGUGGAAUAUUGCGCUCAGCCCAUUACUCUGAAUCGACCCUAGCCUCGGUGGCUAUAAAGCUAGCUGGUCGUGGAGGCGGUCCUGGCUCGUCAAGCUCAACUUCCUGCUGCUGGCCUACAAGCCAGCCGAGUAGUGGAUCAUCGUCAUCAUCAGUGAAGGUCCCGUAAAUCAGAUCUGCAUACUUGAGCUCCGAUUCCUCCUGAAUGCACUUUAGCCUCAACCGCAGAUUGUAGUGCACAUAAAUAAGAUCGUUGAGGCGCUUUUGUAUCAAAUGGUUUCUUUGUUUGCUGUGGAUGAGGGCGAAGGUGGACCAAUUGUGCUCACAGAUACUAGAGGAGACUGUUUGGAAGAAAAUUCGGAUAGCUAUCCGCUUUAGAUUUCUCGCGGACCCGCCAAAAUGCACCCACCAUUCAGCUGCAAAAAUAUUUAUAAAAAUUACAUAUAUGAUAGUUCCAUAUUAGUAACCAAGUAACACCAGGUGAAUGUCUUUCUGAUGUGUGACGUACCUAGAUUCAUUUUGUGUUUGCUGACGACAACCGCUCGUUGACCAAAACUGUAGAUGCCCUCUCUAAAUAAUUUGCUCUGUGAAAAAGAAGCAUUUUCUACCAUGUUAAAAAUUGAAGAUGUCGGUAUACUUACAUAUGCUGGUAAUUACUAAAUCAUAGUUACCUCUUCAAGACAUAAGGUCGCUUUUUCUGGAUCAUGCUCCAUCUGGUAAAUCACAUUACGCAAAGCAUCAUAAGUGUUUCAUUCAUACUAAUUCCAGGUAGUAUGCUGCACAUAUACGAGACUAUCUUAGCAUAAUUAUAUAAGUACAUCCAUCAUUAUAAUUGUCAAUAUUCUUGCUUACCUGAUAGAUGCAAUUCUCUACCCAUUUGUGCUCCGCAUCGUCGCUCAAUGAUGUUGAUGUACGACUGGUCAUGCGCUGGAUCUGCCUCCAUAAUCUGAUCCUUUGCCUUGACCAUCAUGUGAUACAAAAAUCCCAUUUGGGGAUAGAUCUCGCUAUCUAUGGCCCGCAACACUUCAUAUAAUAGUUUAAUAGCCUUGACUAUUGUAGUAGACAAGAUCCAGAGUUUUUGAGGACAACUUCAAUCAUGGAAGGCGUCGACAAAGAAUAUGGCCGGAUUGCAUCUAUGUUGGGUAGUUUUGGUAGCCGAAAGAAGUCAUCUAGAGGAAUUCCACAAGGAGCGACAAUUCAUGAUGUAGAUCUGCAUGCUCUNNNNNNNNNNNNNNNNNNNNNNNNNNNNNNNNNNNNNNNNNNNNNNNNNNNNNNNNNNNNNNNNNNNNNNNNNNNNNNNNNNNNNNNNNNNNNNNNNNNNNNNNNNNNNNNNNNNNNNNNNNNNNNNNNNNNNNNNNNNNNNNNNNNNNNNNNNNNNNNNNNNNNNNNNNNNNNNNNNNNNNNNNNNNNNNNNNNNNNNNNNNNNNNNNNNNNNNNNNNNNNNNNNNNNNNNNNNNNNNNNNNNNNNNNNNNNNNNNNNNNNNNNNNNNNNNNNNNNNNNNNNNNNNNNNNNNNNNNNNNNNNNNNNNNNNNNNNNNNNNNNNNNNNNNNNNNNNNNNNNNNNNNNNNNNNNNNNNNNNNNNNNNNNNNNNNNNNNNNNNNNNNNNNNNNNNNNNNNNNNNNNNNNNNNNNNNNNNNNNNNNNNNNNNNNNNNNNNNNNNNNNNNNNNNNNNNNNNNNNNNNNNNNNNNNNNNNNNNNNNNNNNNNNNNNNNNNNNNNNNNNNNNNNNNNNNNNNNNNNNNNNNNNNNNNNNNNNNNNNNNNNNNNNNNNNNNNNNNNNNNNNNNNNNNNNNNNNNNNNNNNNNNNNNNNNNNNNNNNNNNNNNNNNNNNNNNNNNNNNNNNNNNNNNNNNNNNNNNNNNNNNNNNNNNNNNNNNNNNNNNNNNNNNNNNNNNAACACUUCUGGAUGCUUUGCGUAAUGUGAUUUACAAGAUGGAGCAUGAUCCAGAAAAAGCGACCCUAUGUCUUGAAGAGGUAACUAUGAUUUAGUAAUUACCAGCAUGUGUAAGUAUACCGGCAUCUUUAAUUAUUAACAUGGUAGAACAUGCUUCUUUUUUACAGAGCAAAUUAUUUAGAGGGCAGCUACAGUUUUGGCCACCGAGCGGCUGUCGUCAGCAAACACAAUAUGAAUCCAGAUGCGUCACACAUCAGGAAGACAUUCACCUGGUGUUACUUGGUUACUAAUAUGGAACUAUCAUAUAUGUAAUUUUCAUAAAUAUUUUUGCAGCUGAAUGGUGGGUGCAUUUUGGCGGAUCCGCGAGAAAUCUAAAGCCGAUAGCUAUCCGAAUUUUCUUCCAAACAGUCUCCUCUAGUAGCUGUGAGCACAAUUGGUCCACCUUCGCCCUCAUCCACAGCAAACAAAGAAACCAUUUGAUACAAAAACGCCUCAACGACCUUGUUUAUGUGCACUACAAUCUGCGGUUGAGGCUAAAGUGCAUUCAGGAGGAACCGGAGCUCAAGUAUGCAGAUCCGAUUUACGGGACCUUCACUGAUGAUGACGAUGAUCCACUACUCGACUGGCUUGUAGGCCAGCAGCAGGAGCCCGAGCUUGAUGAGCCAGGAUCGCCUCUACGACCAGCUAGCUUCAUAGCCACGGAGGCUAGGGUUGAUCCAAAGCAAUGGGCUGAGCGCAACGCACUCCCAGAGUUGAUCAGUCGCAGGCACAAAGGAGCCAGUCACCACAUAAUUGGUACGAGACACCUUCCGAGAGAGCUGAUCGAGAAAUGCUCAACAGAGAAGGGCGACAGCCAAACAGAGAGGGCCAAGAAGGAAAAACAAAGGGUCCCAAUGGAGAGUGUCAAAGAGGAGACUUGGAUCAGCAGCGAUGAAGGUUUUGGUGGUGAUGGAUCUUCUAGCCAUGGAGGGAGCGGAGGAUAGUAUGAUACUUAUGAGACACAACCGAAGGAUGGUCUAUAUUUCACCGGUGAGUCCCAAUUUAUGGGUGCUACACAGGAUACGGACCACGGUCAACCACCUGAUAGAUUCCGUGAGGAUAUCAUUGGAUAUAGAAGACGGGCUCCUCGAGGUCGUUUAGGAAGACAGGAUAUAGCUGUAGAUGAGCUCGCAUACGGAUACGGAUUUUAUUAUCCACAGCCUCAGCCUGACGAAUAUGGAUAUGGUGUAUCAGAUUUUGCUUCCGCCAUACUCGGAUGGGCCCCUACACAAUCAGAGGACACCUCUAAGAGCUAGAGCGUGAGCAAGAGAUCCGACAGUUCUUAUAACCUGGCGCGUGUUCCUUCUGAUUGGGUUGAUCUGCCUCCUCCUGACUAUACUUAUGAUCUGGAUAUCUACGAGAGCCAUCGGCACUCGCCCCGAUUUUAGAUAUCCGAGAGUGCUUUAAAUGUAUGUAAAUAAUUGUAUCUUAAUUUGAAGAUAUUUUAUGUGUAUUAUUUUAUCAUUUGGAACGGAAGGAAGUAAUAACAUGCAUCAUCUAUGUUUCAAAUUUAAACCCUAAAUUUAAACAUAGAAACAUCAAAAAUCAUAAAAAAAGAAAUAAAAAAAUCAAAGUUUAUUUAAUUUAAGAUCCAAUAGAGACAACAUUUAAAAAAAAAUGGAACCCAAAAUCCGGCUCGCCGUACUGGGCCGGUACGAUACCAAUACCGGCGGGUACGGCGGACCUUGCAUAUACAUAUCCAUAAGUACAUAAGUACAUAUAAUAUAUAUACAUAUAUAUGAUCCCAUUGCAUAUGUAACUAAUAAAAAAGUACUGCCUCAUCUUUCAUACAUUACUAAAUGGAAUAUUCAUGAUCCUAUUGCAUGUGAAAAUCAAGGGAGAAAAAAUUAAGGCAAAAAAGAGGCAUCAGUGAAGAAUAUUAGGACCAAGGUUUGCUAUACUGAUUGGUACAAUACCGUAUCAGACGUAUCGUAUCAUACCGCUCGGUGGCAUCGUAUCGACACUCAGUACACCUCGCUGUCUCAUACCGUACCGUGUACCGACACUAUAGUAGAAUGGUACUGGUACGGAAUCCGAUACUGAAACAACGAACCUUGAUUAUGAUUGUUAGGGCAUGGCCAUGUGGGAAUCACUGAGCUGACUAAAUUAAUUAUCUCCCAUGCGCAACUUUUUUUCUCUUUUACUAUGAGGUAUAUCUAAAUGUUAUUUUCUUACCCUUUUCUUUAUCAGCUUUUAGAAUCUUAUACCUACUAGGAAAGAAGAUAUAAACUUAAUGGCUCUCCAUAAUAAGAGGGGCUAAAUGCAAAUAUAGUUUUUAGUUCAUCUUCUUAUUUAUGGUUUCAUUAUUCCGAUUAAGGAACCACCAUCUGGGUAAAGAAUUUGAUCUACAAAAUAAACUGCUGCAAUUUCCUUUUUCUUUGGGGGGUGUAGAAAUUUUCAUCUCUAAAAUUUUAAUAUUUCAUAUCCCAAUAAUAUGGAUGUCCGACUUUCAAAUUGAACCUCCAUUAAUUAUUAAGCAAGAGAAUCUUAUUCAAGCUAAAAAGACAAAGAAAGCAAACACUACCAGAAGAUAUGUUAAGCAGGAGUAUCCAAACAAUUAGGAACCACCUUUUCAAGGUUUUGGCCAGGAUCAUACUGCCCCCGGCGAUAAGAAAGCAGCUGGGAUAACUCAAACAGUGGUUGCCCCUCGAGGAAGAGCUCAGCAAUAACACAACUGAAAGGGAAAUGAUGAUGAGACAUUCUAUAAAUCAUUUAAAGGACAGCAAAAAAAAAAAUAUAAACGUCAGAGUAUACUUAUUUAUACAAGUUGCCAGAAAUAAUACAUUUAAAAAAUCAAAAUGCACCAUCAAUAACAAUUUCAAAUUUAGACACGUCAACCCAACUAAUCAUAAAGAAAGUACGUCCUGCAAAUAUAUGCAUAAAUACCUAAGAGGAAAAAGAUGCUUCUUCUCUAGAUGAAAAUGCGUGUGUAGGCAAAAGCCGCCUACACUUAGCAUGAAAUACAAAAGGCUGGAUCCUGAUGUUGGCCACACCCGAUUUACAUGAGGUCUGUGUGAUUCAAAGGGACAGGGGUGGCUUCAGUGCUUCGCAUUGCAUGUAGGCAGUGUUUACCUGCACGCUCGUGCAGGUUCAGCACCACCUUGAUCUUAUGCCAACCAACUUUAAAAGAAAUUUACAUCCGAUCCAUUAGGAUAAAACAUAAUAUUAAGUAUAAGAUCUAAUCUCAAUGCUUGUCUUUUGAAAAAUUCAGUUACUUCAUAACAUAUGUCUUUAAACCAAUGGACUGCAAAUGUCCUUUUUCAGAAACCAAUUCUUUCUGUCUUAGCAUCGCGUCAGAAAAAUAGAUCACAUUGUACAUGUUAUGCUUGCAGUCCUUUAGAAAGCACCACUUAUAUUUCAUCAUUUUUUCCUCUUUGUGCUUAAAGUUAUAUUUUUUGCCAAGCUCUGUCUUCAACAAAAUUUAAAAUGGUUCAAGAUAAAAUUUUCUAGAAUAUUAAAUAUUUUUUCACUCAGACCUAUUCACAAUAGACAUUUUCACAAUCAUUACCUAGAUGUGCAUUUAAUAAUAACUUUUCUAUGUACAUCUAUUUUUCUAAUUUUAUUAUACAUCAAAGUAUCCAUGCAUUGAAUUGAGCCUGCACUAAGUAUUCAUAUGUAAUUUUAGAGCUUUCCAAAAAAAAUUAGCAGACUUAUCUUCUUCUGGGUAUUUAAACACUAAUUAAAAGAGAUGCUUCAUGGCAUAUGAAAUUUUGAAGGAGAAAAAUCUGCACUUAAAUGGCACAAAAUUGAAGCAGCCCCAAUUUGGGAGCUUUAUUAGCCCAAGACUUCGAGACCGAAGUACAUCGGUACUAGCCCAAGUCCCUCGGGCCUGGACAAGGCCCAAUCACAUUACUUAGAAGAUUCUACCAACUACUUGACAACUCAAUGCCAACCCAUUGACAACCAUUACUUAGCUAAUAACCAGCUAAGUGCUAAAUAGCACCUUUGUGUGACAACUCAAUGCCAACAAUAUGGACAACCAUUACUUAGAUGUUUUUGUAAUGUGUUAAUUGCAAACCUCCUCUACAAAAGGAGGUUAGAUGUCUUUUGUAAAGGCAUGUUGUGUUGUGUUCUAGAAUAAAGUUUCUAGUUCCUAUAUUUGAAGGAGUGAUUACUUCUUUACUAGGUCAAGCCCAAGGUGUGAUUCUAGCGUUGUUUACCUUCCCAGUUUCUUAUUUUUCUCAUUUCCCUUCUUUCUAUUUAGUUUCUCCCUUGUUUCCUUCCAUAUUUCUAAAGCCUAAAAACCUGCUUAAUUUUUACUCUCAAAACCAGAACCUUAUCUUGUAUAAUUUGAUAUAACAGCACUUGUUGCAUCAUUAAUGCAAGAAGAUCUUAAUGAGAUGAACUCCUUGACUUGAUUCUAUCUGGGUAAUCUGAUAUAUUUGCUAUAACAGCAGUUGUUGCAUCAUUAAUGCAAGAAGAUGUUAGUGAGAUGAACUCCCUGACUUGAUACUAUCCGGGUAAUGAAGAUAUAGUGUAUCAGUUGGUCCCCCUAUGGCCCAACUUCCAACACACAAAAGACAAGGUUAAUGCUGCUCCCGCUUGUUGACUAGCAUCACCAUGCUGAUAUAUAUAUACUCAUUACUGUAUUGCCACAAAAACCACAACUAAUAGUCCCAUAACAACGCAUAUUUUCCCCAUGCAAAUUCCAGCAAAAGCUGAAGGAACCAACCAGAUAACAUUAUCCUUCAAAUGCAUUUUUCUCUAUUCAUGUGUAAGCAUGCAGAUACUAGAUACAAUAAUACAACUGGCUUAGAA
rnacentral:lncRNA from 1 species